GGAACUAACAGAUUACUUCGGUAAUGACGUUAGGAAAGCGAGCGGCGGAUGGGUGAGUAACACGUGGGGAACCUGCCCCAUAGUCUGGGAUACCACUUGGAAACAGGUGCUAAUACCGGAUAAGAAAGCAGAUCGCAUGAUCAGCUUUUAAAAGGCGGCGUAAGCUGUCGCUAUGGGAUGGCCCCGCGGUGCAUUAGCUAGUUGGUAAGGUAAAGGCUUACCAAGGCGAUGAUGCAUAGCCGAGUUGAGAGACUGAUCGGCCACAUUGGGACUGAGACACGGCCCAAACUCCUACGGGAGGCAGCAGUAGGGAAUCUUCCACAAUGGACGCAAGUCUGAUGGAGCAACGCCGCGUGAGUGAAGAAGGUUUUCGGAUCGUAAAGCUCUGUUGUUGGUGAAGAAGGAUAGAGGUAGUAACUGGCCUUUAUUUGACGGUAAUCAACCAGAAAGUCACGGCUAACUACGUGCCAGCAGCCGCGGUAAUACGUAGGUGGCAAGCGUUGUCCGGAUUUAUUGGGCGUAAAGCGAGCGCAGGCGGAAGAAUAAGUCUGAUGUGAAAGCCCUCGGCUUAACCGAGGAACUGCAUCGGAAACUGUUUUUCUUGAGUGCAGAAGAGGAGAGUGGAACUCCAUGUGUAGCGGUGGAAUGCGUAGAUAUAUGGAAGAACACCAGUGGCGA
rnacentral:rRNA from 1 species